rnacentral:tRNA from 1 species
UGGGAAAAUAGCUUAGUUGGUUAGAGUGCUGGUCUGUCACGCCAGAAGUCGCGGGUUCAAAUCCCGUUUUUCCCGU